rnacentral:rRNA from 1 species
CCUACGGGGAGCAGCAGUGAGGAAUAUUGGUCAAUGGCCGGAAGGCUGAACCAGCCAUGCCGCGUGAAGGUCAGUGCCCUAUGGGCGUUAAACUUCUUUUGUGCGGGAGCCAAAAUGGUCACGUGUGGCCAGACGAGAGUACCGUACGAAUAAGCAUCGGCUAACUCCGUGCCAGCAGCCGCGGUAAUACGGGGGGUGCAAGCGUUAUCCGGAGUUAUUGGGUUUAAAGGGUGCGUAGGCUGCGAGGUAAGUCAGCGGUGAAAUGCCCCCGCUCAACGGGGUGAAGUGCCAUUGAUACUGGCGGGCUGGAAUGCGGAUGCCGUGGGAGGAAUGUGUGGUGUAGCGGUGAAAUGCAUAGAUAUCACACAGAACACCGAUUGCGAAGGCAGCUCACGAAUCCGCGAUUGACGCUGAUGCACGAAAGCGUGGGUAUCAAACAGGAUUAGAUACCCCUGUAGUC